rnacentral:rRNA from 1 species
UAGUCAUAUGCUUGUCCCAAAGAUUAAGCCAUGCAUGUCUAAGUAUAAAUCGUUAUACGGUGAAACUGCGAAUGGCUCAUUAAAUCAGUUAUAAUUUAUUUGAUGGUUUCUUUACUACUUGGAUAACCGUGGUAAUUCUAGAGCUAAUACAUGCAAAAAGCCCGACUCACGAAGGGCUGUAUUUAUUAGAUCAAAAACCAAUGCCUUCGGGCUUCUUGGUGAUUCAUAAUAACUCUGCGGAUCGUAUGGCCUUGCGCCGACGACGCUUCAUUCAAAUU